AGCACAGGGCUGUGUGAAGACGAGCAGCAGCAAACCUGAGGUCUCUUCCAGCCACAAUGAUCCAUCUCUCUGUCUCUGGUGUGCUCAGCUCUGCGCUCACCAAAGCUGCCUUAAUCCGUCUGUCCACAUACGUUCGACGCGACACUCUGAAGUGUCUGCUGGGCCUGUGCCCCAUUCCCUGAGGUUGCCUUCUCUGUGCUGUGCUGCAGUGUGUGAUGCCUUCAGCCACAGUUCAGCUGCUGAGAAAGGCAGGGGGAGUUCUGCAGUCCUCAGUCCAAACUGGACCGUCAGAGCCAGAGAAAGAGAAAGACACAGAAAGGCAGCUAACUCUGAAUGCAUCACUUUGCAAGAAAUGAAUGUCUUCUCCAACAUGCUGACACUUCUCUUCUUCUGAAGGUACUUCAUAAGGCAGAAGUAUUUUUGUUUUGUCUCUCUGUGCUUUGAGAACACGGAGAAUUGGCUAAAACCCAGACCCCCCCACCAUCUCUGUGUCAUGGCCAUCUCCCAUUGGGUGGCCAGGCUGGUUCCUUUGGGAUGGACUGGCUGCAGUGACUGCAGGCACCAUGACCAGGGUCUCUCCCAGGAGCUCGGUGCUAUCCCUGUGUCUUCUCCUGGUGGGACCCUUUGAUUCCAAGGGGACAGUAAUGACAUCCUCCAGGCCUGGGAAUUUGAGCCUCAUCAAAAAAACCUGGUGGUUCUGGACCACCAGGUCAGGAAAUACAAUUUGGCUACCUCUGUUCUUAGAAGGAGACUUCUUUUCCCCCUUAGUUUCCCUUCCCUACACUAGGCUCGCUACCUCUUUAGAAAUUCCAGCUUAGAAUGUUGGGGAAUUAGCAAAAACUGGGCAACAAAAGGGAUUAAAACCAUUGUGAAUAAUGUAUUGAAUGGGUAUCAAUUUCCAACGUUAAAAUGCUAUAAAAAAUUACUUGUUUUCUCAUUGACUUUCAUUUUCCUCUUACAUUACCCCACCACAAAAAGACAAGUACCCAGCACCU